GUCAAAAAACUUUAACCUUGUUCAUAACUUUUUCAGAUCUUGGUGUAUUGUCUUCAUACAUGGCCACAACAACCCUUCAAAUAGACUAGACUAAACUUAAUUAACUUGACCACCAUAUUAACAUUCAAGAAGUUCGGCCUACAUGUCAGAUUUAUAAAUGUGAACAGCAGGAUAUCGAUUUUAAGGAUGCUUUAGGGUCAAUGACAAUGAAAUCAUGAGAGAUAAAGGCUAAAAUGUGAGACUGUCAAUCUGACUAACCUUGAAGUGAAUAAAUGGAAAAAUAUUUCUUUCAAUAGCAUGGGCAUUUAAGGAAGAGGAAACAGAGGCGCUUAUAUGAUAGAACAGAUAAAGCAGGAGCGAUAAGGAAAGAUACAUGUAGAUGUGUCUUCAUGUCGGAAACACUUAAGAAAUAGAAAAAUUGUGGUUUUAUAAAACUUAAAAGAAAUUGGAAUACCAGGAGACUGCCUGCCCUUUGCAAUGUUGGAUAAUGAGUUCUUAGAUGUGAUGUCGAAAGCCUCAUGAAUAUAGUACCAUGACUUAAUCUAAUUAGAAAAAGAAAUGACAUUGAGGAGAAAACUAGUCACCAGUCUUUCACCAAUAACUAGAGAUAACUUUCCAAUAUUUGAAAUAUCAUAAUAUGUAUAGAACUUUAAUGAGCCACCAGUUUUUCACCAGGAAAAUAAGAUCACUUAACUAUUUUUAGCUCACCUGUCACAAAGUUACAGGGUGAGCUUUUUUGAUCGCUUUUCGUCCGGCGUCCGUCCGUAAACUUUUACUUUAAAUGAAAUCUCCUCAUAAACCACUAAGCCAAUUUCAUCCAAACUUUACAGGAAUGUUCCUUUGGUGGUCACCUUUAAAUAUUGUUCAUAGAAUUUAAUUUCAUGCAGAACGCUGGUUGCCAUGGCAACCAAAAGAAAAUGACUUAAAGUAUCUUCUUUUAAAGAACUCAAAGAGCUAGAGCUUAGACAAAGUAUCUUCUUUUAAAGAACCCAAAGAGCUAGAGCUUAGACAUUUGGCAUGAAACAUCUUCUAGUGAGUGUCUACCAAGUUUGUUCAAAUAAAAGCCCUGGGGUCAAAAUUGGCCCGGCCCCAAGGGGUCAUUGAUUUUCCCUAUAUGCAUAUAGUAAAAACUUAAAAAUCUUCUUUUAAAGAACCAAAAUAGCUAGAGUUUAGAUAUUAAGCAUGAAACAUCUUCUGGUAAGUGUCUACAAAGUUUGUUCAAAUAAAAGCCCCGAGGUCAAAAUUGGCCCCGCACCGGGGGUCAUUGAUUUUCCUUAUAUGUGUAUAGCAAAAACUUAAAAACCUUCUUUGAAAAAACCCAAAUAGCUAGAGUUUAGAUAUUAAGCAUGAAACAUCUUCUGGUAAGUGUGUACAAAGUUUGUUCAAAUAAAAGCCCUGGGGUCAAAACUGGCCCCGCCCCAGGGGUUUCAUUGUUUUUAACUAUAUGUGUAUAGUAAAAACUUAAAAAAUCUUCUUUUAAAAAACCCAAUGAGCUAGAGCCUAGAUGUUUAGCAUGAAACAUCUUCUUAUGGUGUCUACCAAGUUUGGUCAAAUUUAAGCCCUUGGAUAAAAAUUGGCCAUGCCGGGGGUGGGUGGUGGUGCAGAGGUCUUUGUUUUACAUUAUAUUUGUGUAGUAAAAACUUAACAUCAUGAAACAUCUUCUAAUGGGUGUCAUACAAGUUUGUUCAAAUAAAAGCCCUGGGGUUUAAACUGGCCCCGCUCCAGGGGCCUAUAUACACAUGGCCCUCUUGUUGAAAUAUGUAUGAACAAAUCUUUAUCAACUUCAAGGUUUUAUUGAAGGAAUUUGAAUAACUUGGCACAAAUGAUUGUUAUAAUAAGACGAUGAGUCAUGUGCAACAACCAGACCCCUACCUCCAGGGUCAAGGUCGCACUUGCUCAUUCAAGGUCAACAUUGUCUAUUUGAGAGUAUAUCUCGUGUCUGGUCUAUAACUUUCCUAUCUCUAAAGGGAUUUUGUAAAUACUUGCCACAAUUGCUCACAAUAAUGAGAAGAUGUGUCAUGCGCAACAACAGGUCACCUGCCUCCAAGGUCAAGGUCACACUUGGAGGCCAAAUAUUAACAUAACCUGUUACAGGGUAUAUUUCGUGUCUGGUCCAUAACUUUGUCAUUUAUUGAAGGAAUUUGAAAUAACUUGGCACAAAUGUUUGUUAUAAUAAGAUGAUGAUGCGCAAUAACCAGACCCCUACCUCCAGGGUCAAGGUCACACUUGCUCAUUCAAGGUCAACAUUGUCUAUUUGAGGGUAUAUCUCGUGUCCAGUCUAUACCUUUCUUAUCUUGAAGGGAUUUUGUAAAUACUUGCCACAGUUGUUCACAACAAUGAGAUGAUGUGUCAUGCGCAACAAUCGGUCACCAACCUACAAGGUCAAGGUCACACUUGGAGGUCUAAGAAUAACAUAGCCUGUUAUAGGGUAUUUUUUUGUCCGGUCCAUAACUUUUUCCUAUAUCAAAGGAUUUUGAAAACACUUGGCACAAAUAUUCACUAUAAUAAGACAAUGUGUCAUGCGCAACACCUGCAUCCCUACCUCCAAGGUCAGGGUCACAUUUCGAGGUAAAAAAUUAACAUAGUCUUUUAAAGGGUAUAUAUUGUGUCCAAUGUAGAACUUCUUCAUAGUUCAAGGAAUUUUGAAAUAACAUGGCACAAAUAGUCACAAUAAUAAGACUAUAUGUCAAGUACAACACCUGCACCCCUGCCUCCAAGGUCAAGGUCACACUUAGAGGUAUAAAGGUAACAAAGUCUGUUAUAUGGUAUAUUUUAUGCACCGUCCAUAACUUCUUCAUAGAUGAAGGGAUUUUGAAAAUACUUGGCACAAAUAGUUACAAUGAUAAGAUGAUAUGUCAUGCACAACACCUGCACCCCUACCUCCAAGGUCAAGGUCACACUUAGAGGUCAAAGCAGGGAUUUUUUCCAGGAUUUUGGGAACAUAACCCAUACCCAUGGAACUGGGAAUUUCAGCAAUAUUUUGUUAAAAAUUGGGAAAAAAUACAUGACUGAAAUUUUGCAGUGAUUAAAUGUAUGCAAGCAAUCACUGCCUAGGAUGGCUUCUUCAAACAUUUUAACACUAUAACAGUGAAGAAGCCCUUAUUUUCAAAGAUUUUAGAAUUCUUUAUUCAAUAUCUAUAUUUUUGUAACUUUCAAUUGGGAAUAUUUUCCUGUGGAUUGGGAAAAUAAUAUGUCCCAAUAACGGCUAUAAAAUGAGCCAAAAAAUCCCUGCAAAGCUUAACAUGAUAGAUUUUGAAAUUCAGUAUUUCAUUUUAUUUCUUUAAUAAAUAUAUUGUUGCAUUUGCAGAUCUAGCAUUGAUCAUAAUUUUGGACUGAAAAUCCUUAGAUCCCUGGCUCAAUCUUUUGAAAUAGCACAAUUUUUUGUUUCAUAUAAAACAUCCCUGAGACAGGGGACGUUAGUAACUCUGUGGAUCAAAAGUCAAAUAAUAAAUUAAAACAUGAGAGUAUAUUUCUAUAUACAUGGCUGGAUUUUCAUAACAUUUAUCACAAAUCAUGAAAUGUUCACUUAUGUAUACAUCUUUCUCCCCAAUCUGAAGCUUUAAGGUUCAGUUCUGAAUAAAGGCAACAGGCUCGAUAUGCUGCCAGUGGGCUUGUCUAAUUAUGUACAUAUUUUGAUUACCCACUCAAUAUAAGCAUUGUUCUUAACGCAGGCAUUCAAGUCCUGUGGGCACAUUUCUACUUUUGACUAUAUUUUGUUGUAUAAUAUCAGUCUUGUAUGUAAAAAAUCCUUAAAACAGCACCUCCUAUACCACUGGCCGUUUGCAUUAAAGCUUCUUUCAUUCAGAUUGUUAUAACUUGUGUCACCUCAAUAUGUACCAAUAAUUUAAAGGGACUCACUCCAUUGAGGUUUAAAAGCCUAAAACAUAACAUUUGAAUUUCUACAGAAAUGAGCCGGGGCACUUGAUACAGAAAUAUAUGCACAGAUAGUGAAGAAAUAUACUUUGAAAUAAAUUGAAAAUCGAUUUUUUAUGCUUUUCUCAGCCUGAUCUGCGUGAAAUGUGUUUAAACGCUUUUAUUUUGGGUCAUUUUUUUACAAUUUGAAUAAUUAUUCUUGAAAAACGAAGUGCGCAAAUGAUCUGAAAUUUUUCUCAAAGAUAAGUGGUCAAAAUAUACAUCAAGUGGUACAUUAAUCUAGAAAAUAAAUUUCAGUCUCAUCAUGUCAAAAAACCUCAGUGGAGUUCCUUUUACACAGUUUAUCUGACAAACUAAAUUUCAUUAUCUCCAUAUAUUUAAGCAUUUAUUUUUUAUAUCACAUAUAUUUUUACUUUUAUGCAAGUUUUGACAAUAAAAGUUUACUUUAAA